CCUGGAUAUUUCAUUCUGCCAAAGACAGGAAGCGGCGCGAGGAAAUCAGUUAUCGUUGGGUUAACAUCAGUGAAGUAAUGUCUGUUAAUGAGGAUUGUAAGGAAGUAAAGGGGAUAUGUGUUAUACAAACCUUGACUACCACGCCUGCUGCAAAUCAAGUCCGAGAUUCCUAAAUCCUACUAAGGUUACAGACAUAUAUGGAAAUGAACAACAAUAGGCUCCUGGACAGUAUUUCCCGACGGAAACAUGCGUCGAAUUUGGCGACUGCAAUAUGGGAUGUACAUGUACGCUGGCAGAUAACAUGUUCUACAGGAAAACCAUCGGAAACGAAUGGAUAUGGUUUCUGCUUGCAGCCUGUUGUAAAUGCUUAAAUCAACUUUGAGAAGCAUUACAGGACAUUUGUUUGUAGUGAAAAAAAAGAUAUAUAUGUGUACCUUUUUAAAUGCUUGAAAAUCCGAUACAUGACAAUAUAAAAACUAGUCAAUAGGGUCAAAUGGUUGUCCGAUACUAGACUGGCCUAUUAAUGUCACGUAAGCCUUUCAAGCUAAACAUUAAC